UCUCACAGCUCUGCUUAGAUUUUCAGACUCAGUCUCCUCUGGGAGAAAUGGUAGAAAUCUAUAAGGGAACGUAGCCCCAAGGGUCAGCCUCACCUCUUUGGGUUUCCUUCCUCUCCCAAUUCUUUUGAUUCAUAAGUGUUACUAUCUUGCUAAUUUAUUAAGCUUUAAAAUAGAUGCUUUUCCUAUUUGACCCAGCUUUCCCACUAUUACUAGUGGGAAGAUUGGCUUGAAUUACCUAGUUUGCUAUUACCAGAAUUCUCACUGCCUAAAAUCUCUCAGAGAGUUGUCAUUGGCUGAAGUCUUUGUUUUUACUUAAUAUUGAAACAACAGGGGACUCUUCAAGAUGGCAGGGUAGGAGCAGCUUGGGGUUGCGGCAGCUCGGUUGCGAAUCUCAGUGAAGGCUCAGAGGGAGUUUAUGAUCCAGAACUGACUGGGCUUACUGUGGAGUUAAUCAGAUUGAGAUGUCCUUGAAUGGAAGGUCACUGAGCUACUUCAGAGCACAGAGUGAUGCUUUUAUGAGAUGCUUCUGCAUUUAUGCCAACUACAACUGUGGCAGCCAUUUUGCAGUAUGGCCGAGGAUGAAGCCAACAUGAA
rnacentral:lncRNA from 13 species